CCUCACCGUGUGCACUGGUCCAGCCGGGCCUUUCCUUCUGGGGAGCCGCAUGCCCUUCACUGGGUGUGUCGGGGAACCAGGACUUUUACUUUGAAAAAAUUAGAGUGUUCAAAGCAGGCCUAUGCUCGAAUACAUUAGCAUGGAAUAAUAGAAUAGGACGUGUGGUUCUAUUUUGUUGGUUUCUAGGACCGCCGUAAUGAUUAAUAGGGAUAGUCGGGGGCAUCAGUAUUCAAUUGU
rnacentral:rRNA from 1 species